GUGUGUUUCCUGUGGAAGAGUGGGCACGCUUGGCAGAAUUCAAUUGAAGCAAAUGCAAACAGCAAGAUUUCAGUGGUUGCGUGAGCCAGCAUGAAAUUGAAGAGCACAAGAACGAAGUCGCGGGCAACAGCGGAACGUCGGAGCAGUCUCGUCGGUGUCGCCAUCUGUUCCGCCGUCCCCGUCCGCGGUAAUGACCGCGACCGGCGACGAAGGGAGAGCCGGCAGCCUCCGUUCGCGUUUCUUCUGACGUUCAAGUAACACAGAAACGAUCCGUGCACUUCCGGCGCGGCGAUUCACAACCUGGGAGGUUCGUACGCUGGAAAGCGAGAAUGGCGGAUGUCGUCGGAGAUCGAUACGAUUAAGUGUUCCGGAGGUUCCCGUGUGAGCCUGGCUGACCGAGGAGCGGCGCGCACCGGACCGCGUGUCACCUGCGCGUUUUAUGACCGCUUGUCAUCGACGCGUGUGGCGCGCACCGCGUCGAAUCCGUCGACGACCACCGGGAAUCUUUGCCUCGCCCGCGCCGCCGCCGCGGAAAACUGUUCGAUCGAUCGAAAAACUCCUCGUCCCGAUCCGUCGGAGCUUCUUUCGCGACGUUUCGACGCGCUGGAAUUGCAGAGGUUAACAGUUUGUAUGGACGAUUCUUUCUCCCUUCGCAUUUCCCCUCGGAGAUCUCGAUCGAGCAUAAAUCUCAUCGUACUAAAACUACCGAGUUAAAUUGACUUUCUGAAAUUCCCCUGUAAAAACUUCUACAGUGUAUCUAUCGAGAUUCUAAUUGAUUUACGAUUCAGUUUGCGUACUGCUGGAUCAAAUCCUUUAAUUAUCCUACAGAGAAACGUUUAUCUAUUUGAUAAUCGUACAAAAUCGGGAAUAGGUCAUUUUGGCUCGUCUAGUAGUUUUAGGCGCCAUUAUAAUUAAUUUAUUAUCAACUUUUCAGAGAGAAGAAACCUGUAUUCAUUAGCGUAAAGGUUAAAUUCAGUGAAAUGUCAACACAUUUCGAUAUAUAGAUAACUAAAGUAAACCAUAUGAAUAAUUUUCUCUAGGACAUAAAUUUCUCAAGUCAGAUUCGACGGAAGAUACGUCUAGAAUUCUCGAGGCUCUUCGUAAUUGCUCAAUAUUCGCUUUUUCACUGGUCGCCUUAAUAUGCAUUUAGUGGUUCCGCAGGGAAGAAUGCGGAGAACGGGCUUCGUUAGCAACAAAGGAUCUCUUCGACGUUGGAAACGCUGCGCGUCCCAGUAUCGCGCGCCGGCGGUUGCCCAUUAGAUCGUUCCAGUUGCAUGAAGAAUGGCGGAUUAGCCAGUUCCAUCGGUUAUUAGCGUUUAAUGGAAUCCGGUCGAAGCGUGCAGGAUCGCGGGUCGUUACCGUUUAUCGGUUAUUUAAUUGAAUAAAGGGAACGGAAGCCGUGUCGGAGCCGGCGUUACGUUUCAUCCUCGCCGUUCGGAAUCGUCGGCGAUCGAUCCUGCCGUCGCGUAACAUCGCGUCCAAUCGUGUUUCUUAACGCGCGGCCGGAAUGCCGCGUUAGCAUGAUCGAUUAUGCGAUUAGGAAACCGUGGAAUCGGACGCCGCGGAUCCAUUAUAUAAACCGUACGUUCGCGAACUGGGCCGCGGCUCGGUUGCGACGUCGGUGUCCCAGUUCCGCGGAACGCGAUCGUCGAUUCUAAUUAAUCGCUCGAAUCACUUUCGAUCUUAUUCCGCGAACAUUCCGCGGCGUCACUUUUACCGAUAAACCUGUUCAUUAACGAUCGCGCUCCGCUCGCCUUUCUAGCCGACGCUCGAUGGCCGUGAUAAUUCAGAAUUGAAUUGAAUUGCCCUGCCGGAGAUUCAUCUUGAAUAUUUGAAAAGGUUACCGCUCAAAAAUAUUUCGCCGCUUUUAGGUGGAACGAAAUUGCGACACGUUCAACGCCGCUCCGUUGACAUUUCAAUUUCUGGCGUAAACGUGUCAUUAUACUUCACGCCGCACGAGGAUUCCGCGUCCUUGUGGAUCUGGAAUCGAAGUGUAAUUUGAAUUAUACUCGAGAUGUUUGCUAAAAAAUCUAUGCAGUACAAAAUUAAUAGAUCAUAAAUAAAUUAAUAGAAUACAAGGGCCUACUAAGUCGCAAACAAAUGAUUUAAUUAGCCAGAUAGCAAGAAAUCUUCACGCAGUUUCCUUUUUCCCAUUAAUCAAGCAAUCGACAUAUAAUUUAUCUUCAUCUGCCGGUUUUGGUCAUUUCAAAGAAUCUUCAUCUUCAAAGGGUUAACACAAUCGGAUUACGCUUGAACCGUGUCCAGAGCUCGUGAAUCGCGGUGACAUCACGCGAAGGAGAACGCGAGCGAGGCGAGUCGCGCCGGACAAAAGGUGUAACGACCACGGCGAAGAAUGAAAUCGUAAUCGCGACAAUGACGACGGCGGCGAAA